UACGUAGGGUGCGAGCGUUAAUCGGAAUUACUGGGCGUAAAGCGUGCGCAGGCGGUUCGUGAUGUCUGAUGUGAAAGCCCCGGGCUCAACCUGGGAAUUGCAUUGGAAACUAGCGGGCUGGAGUGUGGCAGAGGGGGGUGGAAUUCCACGUGUAUCAGUGAAAUGCGUAGAGAUGUGGAGGAACACCGAUGGCGAAGGCAGCCCCCUGGGCUAACACUGACGCUCAUGCACGAAAGCGUGGGGAGCAAACAGG
rnacentral:rRNA from 1 species